AUGUGGUUUAAUUCGAUGAUACGCGAGGAACCUUACCUGGGCUCAAAUGUAUGUUGACGUAUUCUGAAGGAUACUUCUUCGGACAAUAUACAAGGUGCUGCAUGGUUGUCGUCAGCUCGUGCCGUGAGGUGUCGGGUUAAGUCCCAUAACGAGCGCAACCCCUACCUUUAGUUGCCAUCAGGUUAAGCUGGGGACUCUAAAGGAACUGCCUACGCAAGUAGUGAGGAAGCGGGGAUGACGUCAAAUCAGCACGGCCCUUACGUCCAGGGCUACACACGUGCUACAAUGGCCGAUACAGAGGGCAGCUACCUGGUGACAGGAUGCAAAUCUCCAAAGUCGGUCUCAGUUCGGAUCGGAGUCUGCAACCCGACUCCGUGAAGUUGGAUUCGCUAGUAAUCGCGCAUCAGCCAUGGCGCGGUGAAUACGUUCCCGGGCCUU
rnacentral:rRNA from 1 species